rnacentral:misc_RNA from 1 species
GAUGAAGAACGUAGUGAAAUGCGAUAAGUAAUGUGAAUUGCAGAAUUCAGUGAAUCAUCGAAUCUUUGAAUGCACAUUGCGCCCUCUGGUAUUCCGGGGGGCAUGCCUGUUCGAGCGUCAUUACAACCCUCAAGCUCUGCUUGGUAUUGGGCUCUGCCGGUCCUGGCAGGCCUCAAAGUCAGUGGCGGUGCCAUCCGGCUCCAAGCGUAGUAAUUCUUCUCGCUUCGGAGGCCGCGGUGCGUGCUAGCCAGCAACCCCCAAUUUUUUUCAGGUUGACCUCGGAUCAGGUAGGGAUACCCGCUGAACUUAAGCAUAUCAAUAAGCGGAGGA